CCUACGGGGGGCAGCAGUGAGGAAUAUUGGUCAAUGGACGAGAGUCUGAACCAGCCAAGUAGCGUGAAGGAUGACUGCCCUAUGGGUUGUAAACUUCUUUUAUAUGGGAAUAAAAUGUUCCACGUGUGGGAUUUUGUAUGUACCAUAUUAAUAAGGAUCGGCUAACUCCGUGCCAGCAGCCGCGGUAAUACGGAGGAUCCGAGCGUUAUCCGGAUUUAUUGGGUGUAAAGGGAGCGUAGGUGGAUUGUUAAGUCAGUUGUGAAAGUUUGCGGCUCAACCGUAAAAUUGCAGUUGAAACUGGCAGUCGUGAGUACAGUAGAGGUGGGCGGAAUUCGUGGUGUAGCGGUGAAAUGCGUAGAUAUCACGAAGAACUCUGAUUGCGAAGGCAGCUCACUGGACUGCAACUGACACUGAGGCUCGAAAGUGUGGGUAUCAAACAGGAUUAGAUACCCCAGUAGUC
rnacentral:rRNA from 1 species